UUUUAUUCAUGUGAAGAUAGGGAUAGGCUAGUAGCUUUGUGUCUCAAUUGAAGUGAAGAUUUACCACUGUAGAAGAGCCUCAGAGAAUGGGGAAAUCAAUCAAACCAUUACCUCUGAAGAACAAAGUUCACUAACCAGCCGCAGUAACUCAGCAUUCCUAUUCAAUUGCCAAUCAGUAACACAGAAGGAGGGAGCGCUGCAGCGAGUGGUUGCCAUGGUGACUUAUCCACCGGCGUCGCUGAGCCAUUUUUAUCCUCAAGAUCCCACGGGGGCUGUCUCUGUAACUUUUCAGAAUUUCCAGUCUAAUUAUAUUACACUGCCACGACAUGGGAUUAAACAUUAAAGAGGCCUGCACAUCUGCCUAUCUGCCUUCCAUCAACUCAUCUACUCAACAGUAUAUCUACUCCGGUUCUCCAUCCACUCAUCGCCAGAUCGUUGUUUCAACUACAGUGGAUCACUACCCUCCGGUCCCCCUGCCUGCCUGCCUGCCUGCCUCGCCUGCUCGCUUACUAAACACCCGAGCUUAUCCUCAGCCAACCACGCUCACCUCGUCCGCCUGUCCUGCUCAGCUCAACUCUGCCAUCCACCAUCCAGCUCAAUUCAGCUCUGCCUUCCACCAUCGCCUCUCUACCUUCUGCCUUGCCUGCCAUCCUCAUUCCCCUUUAUUCCUACAAUAAACCCCUUUCAUAUUACUUAAA